rnacentral:rRNA from 1 species
AGAGCGAACGCUGGCGGCGUGCUUAACACAUGCAAGUCGAACGCGCAGCAUUCUGUAGCAAUACAGGGUGUGGGCGCGUGGCGAACGGGUGCGUAACACGUGGAUAACCUUCCUUCAGGUGGGGAAUAACCCAGUGAAAAUUGGGCUAAUACCGCAUAACAAAACGAUGAGACAUCUUGUUGUUUUCAAAGGCGCAAGUCGCCAGAAGAGGGAUCCGCGGCCGAUUAGCUUGUUGGCGAGGUAAUGGCUCACCAAGGCAAUGAUCGGUAGCCGGACUGAGAGGUUGGCCGGCCACACUGGAACUGAGACACGGUCCAGACUCCUACGGGAGGCAGCAGUGGGGAAUCUUGCACAAUGGGCGAAAGCCUGAUGCAGCAACGCCGCGUGGGGAUGAAGCUUCUCGGAGUGUAAACCCCUUUCGACCCGGAAGAAGCCCGCAAGGGUUUGACGGUACGGGUAUAAGAAGCCCGGCUAACUACGUGCCAGCAGCCGCGGUAA